AAAGAGGAAGCUUUAAAGCACUCAGUUUCGACCUGAAAAUAAGGUUAAUAAAACCCCCCUUUU
rnacentral:tRNA from 1 species